rnacentral:lncRNA from 1 species
UUUUUUACCAUCGUCACCGUCCCCUGCCACCUCCCUGGGGACAUCCAGCUCCACGUCCCGGUGCUGCAGGCGCACGGGGGGGCCGGGGGGGCCGGGGGGCAGCGCCAGGAGCAGCUCUGUGCAGUGACACCAAUGGGGACUGUCACCUCCCCCCCCCCACACCCCACCCCCCCUCUGGACAUGGGGACAGCACCACGGGGAUGGGGGGGGGACGUGGUCAUUGUCACAUAUGGGGACACUGCCACCCCCAUGUACGGGGUCACUGUCACCAUCACACAUGGGGACACCCCCACUGUCACAUAUGGGGACAUUGUCCUGUAUGGGGACAGUGCCACCCCCACAUAUGGGGACACUGCCACCUUCACCUAUGGGGCCAUUGUCAUCUGUGGGGACACUGCCACCUCCACGUAUGGGGACAUCUCCAGUGUCACAUAUGGGGACAUUGUCACCUAUGGGGACACUGUCACCUCCAUGUAUGGGGACAUUGUCACCUUCACCUAUGGGGACAUUGUCACCUAUGGGGACAGUGCCACCUCCACAUAUGGGGACAUCUCCAGUGUCACAGCUGGGGACAGUGCCAUGUCUGGGGACACUGUCACCUUCAUAUAAGGACACUGCCACCCCAUGUGUGGGGACACUGCCACAUAUGGGGACAUUGACAUGUAUGGGGACAUCACCACCACCGCAUAUGGGGACACUGUCAUCUAUGGGGACAGGGCCACCUCCACGUAUGGGGACACCUCCAGUGUCACAGCUGGGGACAGUGCCAUGGAUGGGGACACUGCCACCUCCAUGGAUGGGGACAGUGCCACCCCCACACAUGGGGACAUUGCCACCCUCAUAUAUGGGGACAGUGCCACGCAUGGGGACAUUGCCACCUCCAUGUAUGGGGACAGUGCCACGCAUGGGGACACUGCCACCUCCGUGUAUGGGGACAGUGCCAGCCCCAGGUAUAAGGACGCUGCCACCAUCACUUACGGGGACAGUGCCACCCCCACGCAGGGGGUCACCGUCACCAUCACAUACGGGGACAUCCCCACUGUCACAUACGGGGACACCGCCCCCCCCCAUCCGUGGUGUCCCUGUCACACGGGGGAUGCUGCAGUACCGGUUCCGGCCGCGGUGCUCACGGUGGCGCUGUCGCCGUCGGGGUGGCCGCGCAUGC